GGCCUCGUGGUGGAAUGGUAGACACAAAGGACUUAAAAUCCUUGCCCAAUUGGGAGUGCCGGUUCGAGUCCGGCCGAGGCUACCA
rnacentral:tRNA from 1 species